rnacentral:rRNA from 1 species
GAUGAACGCUGGCGGCGUGCCUAAUACAUGCAAGUCGAGCGAACAGACGAGGAGCUUGCUCCUCUGACGUUAGCGGCGGACGGGUAAGUAACACGUGGAUAACCUACCUAUAAGACUGGGAUAACUUCGGGAAACCGGAGCUAAUACCGGAUAAUAUAUUGAACCGCAUGGUUCAAUAGUGAAAGACGGUUUUGCUGUCACUUAUAGAUGGAUCCGCGCCGCAUUAGCUAGUUGGUAAGGUAACGGCUUACCAAGGCAACGAUUCGUAGCCGACCUGAGAGGGUGAUCGGCCACACUGGAACUGGGACACGGUCCAGACUCCUACGGGAGGCAGCAGUAGGGAAUCUUCCGCCAUGGGCGAAAGCCUGACGGAGCAACGCCGCGUGAGUGAUGAAGGUCUUCGGAUCGUAAAACUCUGUUAUUAGGGAAGAACAAAUGUGUAAGUAACUAUGCACGUCUUGACGGUACCUAAUCAGAAAGCCACGGCUAACUACGUG